rnacentral:rRNA from 1 species
UACGGGAGGCAGCAGUGGGGAAUAUUGGACAAUGGGCGCAAGCCUGAUCCAGCCAUGCCGCGUGAGUGAUGACGGCCCUAGGGUUGUAAAGCUCUUUUACCUGGGAAGAUAAUGACGGUACCAGGAGAAUAAGCCCCGGCUAACUUCGUGCCAGCAGCCGCGGUAAUACGAAGGGGCUAGCGUUGUUCGGAAUCACUGGGCGUAAAGCGCACGUAGGCGGAUAAUUAAGUCAGGGGUGAAAUCCCGAGGCUCAACCUCGGAACUGCCUUUUGAUACUGGUUAUCUUGAGUCCGGGAGAGGUGAGUGGAACUGCGAGUGUAGAGGUGAAAUUCGUAGAUAUUCGCAAGAACACCAGUGGCGAAGGCGGCUCACUGGCCCGGAACUGACGCUGAGGGUGCGAAAGCGUGGGGAGCGAAACAGGGAUUAGAUACC